rnacentral:rRNA from 1 species
AUUGAACGCUGGCGGCAUGCCUUACACAUGCAAGUCGAACGGCAGCACGGGAGCAAUCCUGGUGGCGAGUGGCGAACGGGUGAGUAAUAUAUCGGAACGUGCCCAGUCGUGGGGGAUAACGUAGCGAAAGCUACGCUAAUACCGCAUACGAUCUAUGGAUGAAAGCGGGGGGAUCGCAAGACCUCGCGCGAUUGGAGCGGCCGAUAUCAGAUUAGGUAGUUGGUGAGGUAAAGGCUCACCAAGCCGACGAUCUGUAGCUGGUCUGAGAGGACGACCAGCCACACUGGGACUGAGACACGGCCCAGACUCCUACGGGAGGCAGCAGUGGGGAAUUUUGGACAAUGGACGCAAGUCUGAUCCAGCCAUUCCGCGUGCAGGAUGAAGGCCCUCGGGUUGUAAACUGCUUUGUACGGAACGAAAGUUUGUCUUAAUACGAUGAGCUCAUGACGGUA